UUAGGGUCAAACCCACCGUAACACCGAGUUAGACACCCCCUCCAGAGAUGACUUCAAGAAAAUGAUAAAGAAAUGAUCAUAAAUGUUCGUCCUUGAGCUGGGUCUGGAGAAAUCUCUGUACUAAAGGGACAAGGACCAAAACCAGGACUCGAUGGUCCUGAUAUACAGGGCAUGAAAAACAGACAGGACUCUGGAGUGGAAAUCACCGCAUGGAAAGGGCAACUAGUGAGUAAGUUUCCAAGUAAGAACUGGAAAUCAUAGAAGCUGCAUCCUCAGUUUUAGAGAGUUUUAAAGAGGGGGAUCAUCAGAGUCCAUGUCCUGUAGAUUGUGGUAGACUACAUCAUAAAAUCAUAUUACACAUAAAAAACAUUACUACUCUAUUAUUACUUACACAGUAGAUAUGGUGGCCGAGAACCGCCACUACUGCAAAUAAAAAAAGGAAGUCACAAAAAAGUUUGUGAUGCAAAAAAAAGAGAAAAAAAAGAAAAAGAAACCUAAGCCUACUGCAAAUAAAAAGAAAUGGUGCAGAUAAGAAAAAAAAAAAGCCACAGUGGAAGUCAACGAUGCAAAAAAAGAAAAGUGGCGAUGCAAAAAAAAAAAAGUUUCUAACUGCGAAAAAUAAAAGGAUGCAAAAAAAAGAAAAAAAAAAAAAAAAAGAAAAUAAAAAUGCCACCAUGGAAGUGAGCUGCCAGGGACCAACAAUGACAAUGCACCAGGGUUUUAUGAUCUAGGCACAGAAGACGUCUACGAAAAGACGAUCAAAGAAGUAAGUGGAAAGGUUUUUGUUUAAUUUCACUUCGUAAACUUUUAAAGUGUCGUUUGGUUAGACCAUGUAGCGCCUGAGUCCAUAUGAAGUUAAACUGGAGGACGUCGGUGUAGAGUUAGCUUCAGUUCAUCCUUAUAUCAACUCAGGUGCUACAUGGUCGAACCACUUUAAAAAUUUUACGAAGUGAAAUUAAUCAAUAACCUUUACACAUCUUUCCGCCGUCGUCUUCUGUGUCUAGAUCGUAAAACACCAAUACUGGUCCCCGGCAGCUCACUUCUGUUGUGACUUUUUUUUUUUUUUUUUUUGCAUCGUCACUUUUUUUUGCGUCGUUAACCUCCAUUGUGCCUUUUUUUUAAUCUGCACUGUAUGUUUUUUUAUUUACAGCUUCGUUUCCUUUUUUAAUUUUCAUCGGUAACUUUCAUUGUGACUUUUUUAUUCGCAGCAGUGGCAGUUCUCGGCCACCGUACAUAGAGGGUUGUUGAAGCGCACUCCUGUAUCCUGUG